rnacentral:lncRNA from 1 species
GGAUUCUAUCAGUUUGCUAAAAGAUUUGAUCUUUAAGCUUUAGUUUUCUUUUUUCUUGUAUAAGAAGGGUACAUGUUCCUGCAAGGAAGUCAAAACAUCUUUUUAAACAGAAAAUAUUUAUCGAUAGGCUAUGAAAAGCAGCACCAAAUGAGGCAGACAUUUAGAUUGGGUGUUCCAGUUGUGAGUCAGCCUUAGGGCCAUGGUGAGUGGCUGGGUUCUGUUCAUGUUAUGAAUGGGUUUUGCCUCCUGCUGCCUAGUUUUCUAACUUUGUCUUUAGUGCAAGUUUUCCCGGGUGGACCCACCCAUUCUCGACGAUGUGCGCUGCCUGGUCCUAUUGGAAAAUGCAGAGCUUGCCCAGGUGCAGGCUCAGACAGGUGUGGGGUGGCUCUGCUCCUCCACCCUGAACCAACAUGGCAUCUCCAUGGAGACCACCCCACACACUGAUCUCACGAGGAUAGCCACACCUGAGCACACAACCUUGGGUAGGGACCAGCUUUUCUUUUCUCUUUGGAAAAGAGAAACUGUGUGGGAGAAGGAUGAUUUUACGUGAGUGAAGCGUUCCCUGGCCCUCACACAGCCCAAGGACUAAUGUCUGCACGGGAGGGCGGUGCUCACGGCAGCCUUGGGGAUGAUGCGUGGACCUUCCAGUGGAGCUUGCCUUGGAAACAGGUCUUCCCAGCCUCAAGGAAAUGGCCAGCUGUCUGCCUCUGGCUGUCCUGUUCCCUCAUCACCAGCUUAGAAAGCCUCCAUGGUGUCAUACCGAAUAAAGUCCAGAUUCCUUCACAGGGGACUGCAGGUGGGGAAGACAACAGACUCGAUGGCUUAGCUAAAGCAAGCCUGGUACUUCCCUCAAGCAGCUUGUGGAUUGCAGAUUCCUGCCAGGCCCUCCAGAACCAGCCCAAGGUCUCUUCCCCCAGAUCUGUCUGCUCUCAGCAUUUUCUCCAAAAAGGGGAUGGAAGCCCGAGAACCACAUUUCUGAGAACACUUGCCAUCCAGGUUCCAGGUUGGAUUCUUUCCUGGACUGGUAACUACAUGAGAUUCAGAAGGAAAGUAGCCAAAGCCAUCUCAUUGUCUUUUAACUGGUGGGUAGACUGGUGGGCUUGGAAAGAAGCCAAAGCCAUCUCAUUGUUCUCUAACUGUGGUGGGUAGACUGGUGGGCAAUGGCAGAUGUGAGGUUUUAAAACAACCUCAGAAUUUUCCUGUUUGAGUCAACAAUGUUGG